rnacentral:piRNA from 1 species
UGACCUACGUUACUUUGUAGAUACGGAGAG